rnacentral:lncRNA from 10 species
CAAAAUUAUGCAAAACUCCUAUAAUUCUAAUAUAACAUAGUAUAUACAUUAGGCUGGGAAACAAAUUUUGGGUAAAGCAGUUUGAGUCAUUACCAAUAUACUGGAUUGGACAAAAAAGGGCUGUGAAAAAUAUGACAAUUAUGUGAGGAGCCCCAAAAGAUAAGAGUUAUUAUUUUUAUAUUUAUUUAUUUUUGAGACAGGGUCUUGCAACAGAAAAAAAUCUGUUGCCAGGGCUGGAGAGCAAUGGUGUGAUCACUGCUCACAGCAGCCUCGACCUUCUGGGCUCAAGC